CAUAGGCUUUGGUCCUGGCCUUUCUAUUAGUUAUUAGUGAACUUACACAUGCAAGAAUCCCCAUUCCUGUGAAAAUGCCCUCUAAGCCAUCCACUGACAUAAAGGAGCUGGUAUCAAGCACACUAAAAGUAGCUCAUAACACCUUGCUUAGCCACACCCCCACGGGAAACAGCAGUGACAAAAAUUAAGCAAUGGACGAAAGUCCGACUAAGUUACACUAUAGAGGACUGGUAAAUUUCGUGCCAGCCACCGCGGUCAUACGAUUAGGCCAAACUAAUAGACGUUCGGCGUAAAGGGUGUUUUAGAAUUUAAAUAAAGCAAUAAAGUCAAACUCUGAUUAUGCUGUAAAAAGCUCCAAUCAAUGUAAGACAAAUAACGAAAGUGACUUUAAAAAAUCUGAUUACACGAUAGCUAGGGUCCAAACUGGGAUUAGAUACCCCACUAUGCCUAGCCCUAAACAUAAAAAAUUAUAAACAAAAUUAUUCGCCAGAGUACUACUAGCAAAAGCUAAAAACUCAAAGGACUUGGCGGUGCCUUAUACCCCUCUAGAGGAGCCUGUUCUAUAAUCGAUAAACCCCGAUAUACCUCACCAGCCUUUGCUAAGUCAGCCUAUAUACCGCCAUCUUCAGCAAACUCUAAAAAGAAUGCAUAGUAAGCAUAAAUAUUAACUAAAACGUUAGGUCAGGUGUAGCUAUAGACUGGAAAGAAAUGGGCUACAUUUCUCG
rnacentral:rRNA from 1 species